GACGAACGCUGGCGGCGUGCCUAAUACAUGCAAGUCGACCUUGGUUGCGAACGGGUGAGUAACCCUUCGGUCACCUGCCCAUCAGAAGGGGAAAACACUUGCUAACACGUGCUAAUACCUUAUACUGCUGGAUGGACUCGCGGUGCAUGAGCUAGUUGGUAAGGUAACGGCUCACCACGGCCACGAUGCAUAGCCGACCUGAGAGGGUGAUCGGCCACAUUGGGACUGAGACACGGUCCAAACUCCUACGGGAGGCAGCAGUAGGGAAUCUUCGGCAAUGGGCGAAAGUCUGACCGAGCAACGCCGCGUGAGUGAAGAAGGUCUUCGGAUCGUAAAACUCUGUUGUUAGAGAAGCGGUAUCUAACCAGAAAGCCACGGCUAACUACGUGCCAGCAGCCGCGGUAAUAC
rnacentral:rRNA from 1 species